rnacentral:rRNA from 1 species
AACGAACGCUGGCGGCAUGCCUAACACAUGCAAGUCGAACGAGACCUUCCUGUUUAGUGGCGCACGGGUAGGUAACGCGUGGGAACUUGCCCUUAGGUACGGUAUAACUCCCCGUAAGGGGUGCUAAUACCGGUUAAUCUCUUCCGACCAAGGAUUUAUCGCCGUUGGGUGGGCCCGCGUUGGUUUAGCCGGUUGGUAGUGUAAAAGCCUACCAAGGCGACGAUCCAUAGCUGGUCGGAUAGGAUGAUACUCUACGAUGGAACUGCGGCACGGCCUAGAACGCUACGGGACGGUGGAGAAGGGAGUAUUGGAGGCGGGGGGAAAGUCUGGCAAAGCAACGCGGGGUAUGUGAUGAAGGCCGUAGGGUUGUAAAGCUCUUUGAGCCGGGAUGAUAAUGACAGUAACGGGAGAAUAAGCACCGGCUAACUACGUG